rnacentral:rRNA from 1 species
CUGCCUUCGAGAGGGGAAUAACGGCUGGAAACGGUCGCUAAUACCGCAUAACAUACCGGGAGGACAUCCUGCUGGUAUCAAAGAUUUUAUCGCUCGAAGAUGGGCUCGCGUCCGAUUAGGUAGUUGGUGAGGUAACGGCUCACCAAGCCGACGAUCGGUAGCCGGACUGAGAGGUUGAACGGCCACAUUGGGACUGAGACACGGCCCAGACUCCUACGGGAGGCAGCAGUGGGGGAUAUUGCACAAUGGGGGAAACCCUGAUGCAGCGACGCCGCGUGUGGGAAGACGGUCCUCGGAUUGUAAACCACUGUCCCCAGGGACGAAGAUGACGGUACCUGGGGAGGAAGCUCCGGCUAACUACGUGCCAGCAGCCGCGGUAAUACGUAGGGAGCGAGCGUUGUCCGGAAUUACUGGGUGUAAAGGGAGCGUAGGCGGGGAUGCAAGUUGGGUGUCAAAACUACCGGCUCAACUGGUAGUCUGCACUCAAAACUGCAGCUCUUGAGUGAAGUAGAGGCAGGCGGAAUUCCUAGUGUAGCGGUGAAAUGCGUAGAUAUUAGGAGGAACACCAGUGGCGAAGGCGGCCUGCUGGGCUUUUACUGACGCUGAGGCUCGAAAGUGUGGGGAGCAAACAGGAUUAGAUACCCUGGUAGUCCACACCGUAAACGAUGA